rnacentral:rRNA from 1 species
UACGUAGGUGGCAAGCGAUGUCCGGAUUUACUGGGCGUAAAGCGCCCGCAGGCGGCUUGGCAAGUCUGAGGUGAAAUCUCCCGGCUCAACUGGGAGGGUGCCCCGGAAACUGCCAGGCUCGAGGCAGGGAGAGGGAUGUGGAAUUCCCGGUGUAGUGGUGAAAUGCGUAGAUAUCGGAAGAACACCAGUGGCGAAGGCGGCUCACUGGUCCGGUACUGACGCUGAGGUGCGAAAGCGUGGGGAGCAAACAGG